rnacentral:rRNA from 1 species
GAUGAACGCUGGCGGCGUGCCUAAUACAUGCAAGUCGAGCGAACGGACGAGAAGCUUGCUUCUCUGAUGUUAGCGGCGGACGGGUGAGUAACACGUGGAUAACCUACCUAUAAGACUGGGAUAACUUCGGGAAACCGGAGCUAAUACCGGAUAAUAUUUUGUACCGCAUGGUUCAAAAGUGAAAGACGGUCUUGCUGUCACUUAUAGAUGGAUCCGCGCUGCAUUAGCUAGUUGGUAAGGUAACGGCUUACCAAGGCAACGAUGCAUAGCCGACCUGAGAGGGUGAUCGGCCACACUGGAACUGAGACACGGUCCAGACUCCUACGGGAGGCAGCAGUAGGGAAUCUUCCGCAAUGGGCGAAAGCCUGACGGAGCAACGCCGCGUGAGUGAUGAAGGUCUUCGGAUCGUAAAACGCUGUUAUUAGGGAAGAACAUAUGUGUAAGUAACUGUGCACAUCUUGACGGUACCUAAUCAGAAAGCCACGGCUAACUACGUG